GAUACACUGAUUGGUUCAAGAAAAAUGCUGAUAUGAUUAAACAAAUUCUGCAUGCAAUUUCUACCUCAGGUAUUGAGACCGAUUCUGAUCCGGAUGAUAAACACCCAGGUGAUGGAAAGUGGUCAGAAGUCAUUCAUUUAAAAUGCGAGGCGAUCUACGGCAGCAGGACGAGGAGUAAUCACCGGGGCGAAAAGUAGGUGGGAGAGUGAAGCUUGAAAUGAGAGGUAUAUUUUAGCAGGAAUGCAGUUGAUCUGUAGUCAAAAAUGGGCAGAACAUCUCAUUUUUAGCAGAAAGCCAUCUAAUUUGUGGUCACAUGGGUGGUCUGAAACCAGCUCUGUCAUUUGGGUGACCAUACUACGCCAUCAGGAACUUAAAAACGACAACACCCACAUAGGUAACUGUCCAGAAGUACUUGGGCAAUGGAAAUCCUGAAUGUAAUACAGAUGAAUUGUACUACAGUGAAGCUGAGCUAAAACCAAUGAUGCAGUAAAAGUUAGUCAGAGCUGUGUCAUACUUUGUAGCCUCCUACAUCCUAUCUUUAACAAUAUUAUUAAUUUAAAAUCUUCUUGUGUUCGAAAAGGCAAUCAGUGCUGCAUUUACAUUUACAGAAUCUGGCAAAUGCCCAUCUCCAGAGCAACACUAAUCUCAUUUGCACAGCUGAACAGUUGAAGGUUACCCGGCCUUGAUCAAAAGGCCAACAGUGCCAGCAUUAUGGGGCUGGGAUUCGAACUCAGAACCUUCCAAUUAGAAGUGCAACAGCUUAAACACAGAGCUAUGACUAUACCACUUUCAGUCUUGAGUCUAUACUUCUUCUUGGUUUAUUAGCAUAUUACAUAAUAGCUCUUAAUUUUAAAUAGAGGAUGCAGCCAUUUUGGUCAAAGGUAUUAGAUUAAACAAAAGAUAUAUAUACAGAAAUUGUAUGCUACAAUUACAGCAAUGUUUCACUCACUUGCAUUUGAACGUAAUCUUUAGUCUAAUUUUACAGACAGUGUGCUAUUGUGGUAAGCCAGCGUAAACACGGUUUCCUGCUAUUGUACAAUUUAAAUAAGGAAGUAACUGAACAACUGUUAUUCAAUACAUAGUGCGGACCAUACCGGUGUUCGCUUAAAGCAAAGCUACUGGACCUCAAUGUUUUUUGACCACUUAACCACCCCAGGUUUAAAAAGAAAAGUUGAACUGUAAGAACCCACAGGUGUUCAUCAGCUUAAGUCCUUUAGAAUAAUUUUCUUUCUUAAUACAUGGUGGGAAGCAUAAUAUCCUAUUUCUGCUGAAAGAUGAGUACAUCGCCAUUAGGCAAUCCUGUGAUUGUUGAGUCAGUUUGUGUAAAAUGGAGAUUCCUGUUUCUCAUCUCCAUUUUACACAAACUGACUCAACAAAACCUAAGAGACUAGAUAAUCACUAUUCCCUGUUACGCCCAAGCCAAAUUGUUCUUUUUCCAAAAUUGAAGGUCAUAGCAAUCACCAAGAUGAAUGUGCAUGUCUGCAGUAAAAUAAAUAUUUUUAAAACAGCCUUGAGCUGGCAUGCACCAUUUUCAUAAAAUAUAGGGUGGGCUAAAAGUCCUACGCAUAAAGUGCAGGACUUCCUGAAGCAAUGCAUUUUUGGAUACCCUCUCAAUUCUGGGAAGUGCCAUCUAUAACGAGUUUGAUGGGAUAUUAGACACUCCCCUUCUGGAGUCUUCCUAUUCCCUACCAGAGUCACAGUGAAAGCUAUUUCUACCCUGUGACUCACUGAUAGGGGUUUGUAAAAUGUCUGGCAUGCCAAAGCUUAAGCUCAAAGCAAUACGACCACAAUUCCAAUCUGACCACACCUCAAAAUCUUUCAUUUUCUAUCUUGAGAACCCGACCAUGAUUUUUAUUUUUUAACACAAUAGGUUUUGAAUUUAUACAUUUUCUUUUUUUUUUUAUUGCUUAAAGAGAUCGAAGACAUUUCUUUUAAACUUUAAUCUAUAAAAUUAAUUAUUUAUGCACUGUACAUAUCCAUUAGAAAAUCGUAUCCACCUGUUGGGAGAUAAGAUCAUACAAAUCUUCUUAGCCACAAUUAGUCUCAAGCUUUCCUCAGGGAAAAAGUGCAGACAAAAGAUAAAUGAAUGAACUCCAUCAGUGGUUUAGACUGAUGGGUGCAAUUGUAUUCUGUAAUGCACUGUAGCAAUCACUGAAUGUAUGAUCAGAGAGCGUUGCCACAAGGCUUCUUGUCUCUUCCUGUCUCUUGUCCAACUGUGAACAUGUUAACCCCUUUCCACUGUCUAGGAAGAUUCCAUAUAUUUUUUCCAGGAAAUGUAAGCGAUUGUGCCAAAAAGUUUAAAAAAAAAAAAUCACAAAAACAGUGGCAUUCAGCUUUACGCACAAAUCAGAGAUAGCUUUUUGUGGGAAAACUGUCUCACACUCUGAGGUCUUUUUCAUGUUUGGUAAUUUUCCACAGUCCGACUGAUGACUCAUAAGUCUUCAGACAGAACAUCUGGUCACAAUCAGUCAUUUUAGUAGGAAUUGCCGAUACUGGUUAAUGGCUAGUUCAUUAUUUUGACCUGUUCAAGUCACAAAAAAACACAUGUGGGUGGUGGAGUAUGUAUUUACAGGACUGUAGUGAAAAAAGGGUCUACCAAUCCUUUUCACACGUGCACAUUUUAAAAGAAGUGGUGGUAGGGGGAAAAACAAUACUUCAGUCUCAAAAGUGAAGUGAAAAUGAAAUACAACCCAACCAUUCGGGAAUUUCUGAUGCAGCUGCAUGAUGCCCAACCCGAGUUAUGUCUAUGGGGGUUCAUAACCUCAAUAUCACACCUACACUACAUGUAUUACUGUAACAUGUACAACACAACACCCACAUUAGGUUUUACAGAUAAAACUCUUGCUGUUUUCUCCUUUGGCAAGGAUGAAAACUGGGUGCGUUUCUUGAUGAAUCAACAGCUGCAGGAAUGUAAUUGAAUAAAUGUUCGACAAAUGACAGAGAGCAGGCUCUCUAUAAUGUUACCCCCAGCUAUAUAUAGUGCUUCUAAACCGGUUAUUUUCAUUUCGGUUUUGUUUUUGGAGAAUGAAAGCCCAGGACACGACGUCGCCCAUGAACAAGAUAGUUAUUACAGUCUCGCAGCCUGGCUGUAGUAUGAGCUGGAAUCUGACCGCAAUGUGUACAUUACACAGACCAGUCCAUCACGGGGCGCGCACAUAUACCCGCUAUAAGAGCUCAAAUACAAUAUAGCCUAUAUUUUCAGUUGACUUACGAGGACACUGUUGCUCA